UACGUAGGGGGCAAGCGUUGUCCGGAAUCAUUGGGCGUAAAGCGCGCGUAGGCGGCCCGGUAAGUCCGCUGUAAAAGUCCAGGGCUCAACCCUGGAAAGCCGGUGGAUACUGUCGGGCUAGAGUCCGGAAGAGGCGAGUGGAAUUCCUGGUGUAGCGGUGGAAUGCGCAGAUAUCAGGAGGAACACCGAUGGCGAAGGCAGCUCGCUGGGACGUUACUGACGCUGAGACGCGAAAGCGUGGGGGAGCAAACAGG
rnacentral:rRNA from 1 species